CAGACACGGUACCUGCGCGGUAACAGUUGGCACAGAGUGGUAAUAAUAAGACCUCCUGAACUGGCCUCGAUAAAUAAGCCAAAAGCUAGACAGUGAAGAUCGAGUCAGGUAAGAGAGUCAUGAAUAAGUGUUUACAUGGACGCGUUUCGGAAUAACGCUUGGCAUAAACCACCCCUCUUGAUCGGAAUGCAAUUUCUUUCCGAUUGAGCCGAAAAUGAUCAGAAUCCUCCGAUCGGCAUGUUUACAUGACGCAUUUUUAUUCCGAUCGGACAUUUAUUCCGAUUAUUUGUGCCCAUGUAAACAAAGCUAACGUUUUUGUCACCAGUGCAUCAAGCCUGUGCCUGAACAUAGCCAAAAAUAAUCAACUCACUGUUCUUUGUAUUUUUCCUGGUUUGCCAUUUUGUUCAUUGCUGAAACAUAGUGCUAAGUGCCUCACAAAUAUCUUGGACAAGAUGAGUACCCAAAGACAGUUAUUUUCUCUAAGAUUAGUUUUCAGGAUUUUGGACUACAACUGAAGAGGACUGGACAGUGGACUGCUGAGGAAGUGGGGCAAGAGUAGGGAGUGACAUGUGGGAAAGUAGCCACAGGUUGGAAGUGAACCCAGGCCGUCUGUGAGACGAUUACAAUAUCAAGAUAGUCCUUCAGCAAAACAGAGACUAGUCUGGAUAUUGUUUCGGAAAUGACAAAGGCAACUGUGCAAACCAGUUUAGGCAGCACCCUGGGGUUUAUUUUCCUGAUGAAGGAAAAACUGAUGCAACAUAAUUAUAGAGAGGAUUGAACGCUUUGAUUUGAUCAUGAUGAGAGAAUUUUGCAUAAAGAUAAUCUUUUCAUGCUUUCUGCCCCACGAUAAAAGACUGGAAGUUUCACAGCUGGAAGAAAUGUACAGAGUGUAGACGAUCAUGACAUUUGACAGGGUUAAAGUCUUAAAAUCUGGCUUAGGUCAGCUGUAGCUUAGCAGGAAAAGAAAGUUUGAUGUUGCACAAGGAACUAUUCCCAAAUCGGAUGACUCACUCAGAGGCAGAAAGUUCUUCUAGGGUCCAAACGGAGAAGACACAAAACUGUGCACAUGACCAAUCUCUGCAGCUUUAUGUCUCUCUAAUAGUCUGUCUUAGUCCACAAAUCCUUUUUAGCAUAUCUUUAUAGAUACACACGGAAAAUAGAUCUUUGAGCUCUUCUGUAAACAAGGUCUUCUUUCUUUGGCCAAACGACAAUCUUUUGCUGGCUCUGGAUCUCUGGUCUCUAGACAGAGAAUUGAAGAGAAAUCCACAUCUGCUCAUCUGUAUAUAAGAUUGACAGACUGACUGACAUUACAAGUAAAGGCCAAAAUAAGCAUCUAUUUUGUUUCUGGUCAUAGUAGAUAUUAGAUGCUUAGCUUUGGCAAUGUUGAGCUCUUUUCUUGUCCAGUCUUACCAAAUCCAGCAGCUGGUUUCCUCUGCUAGACAGACAGCAGAGGCAGUCCUGUGACUUUGUCAUUGGCUGAAGAAAGCAUGUUUCCAAAGUCAGAUGUUUUAAAAUCUGUCGGGUUUGUGCCAUAAAACUUUUGCUCCACUUCUAGAAAAAUGGGAAAUUUGUGUUAUUUUUCUCUACAGCAUCCCCACGAGGUUGCAUAUUAUUUCAUGAACAACUAGCUAGCCAAACCAUCGCGUAGAUCUUUGCCAACAUGGUUAGCUUCCGGUAUUAGCUUCACUGAUAUGAAUGCUCACAGCUAGCACGGCUGUAGACUUGAGGUUUGUUUGUUAUACUGGCAUAUCAGGAAGCUAAUUUAAUGUGUCAGGUUUGAUAUUUUCAUGAGAUUUGAGCUGUUGUGCAUUUUACCUUGAUAUAAAUACGUCAAAAGCAAAACUGUACAGUGGCAUAAAUUGAAAAUUAGACUGAUAAAGUGUCAUUAUUGCUCAAUCAUAAAUGUCAGGAAGCAGAUAUUUUCCUUUUCUGUUAAAAUACAGUAAAAAUAAUAUUUUCGAGCUGUAGUGGAGUUUGAUUUUGUAUGUAUUUUCCUUCUUAUGGCAUGUUUUCAAGGAGAGGAUGUAAUUGGCGCUGCUCAGCACCUGGCAGGUCAGGAAAGAGAAAAAAAAAUGAACACAGAAGGUACGACAAUCAUCAACAUGGCAUGAGAGAAUCAUUACACUGUACUAGACGACAGUGUUGCAUAACGAGGAAAACUCUGGCAGACUGUAAAACACAGACUGUUCAUCAUAUUCCUGCCAAGAUCAACAGAGAGCUGAACUAGUUUGAACCGGAGCUUCAAGUCUUCCUGAGGACUUCCUUUGAAACUAAAUGAGGCCUUAAGAGCCAAUUCUACUUCAGUCACGUGUGCAAAUUAAACCUUGACACCAUGUCAAAAUGUUCGAUAGUAAAGUGGAAACAGCAACGUUUGAGACAGAAAUCUUCCUAUUACAUAAGAUUGAUGUUUAGCUCCAGUAAUCACGCUGCACGAAGAGUAAUCUACACAGUAUUAAAACAGGAAGCAUUUAUAUCAGCCAUUAUACGAGCACAUCCUUCACAGCUGAACCUCGUAGCUUGAGGUUCAUAUAGAUCUCCCAGCAGCCUUAGAUUGUGCAAUCACUUCUCGUGAAGUUUUAAAAUGCAUGACUUCUGUGUCUCAAGGCUCAUUCAGUUCCUUCCUUCUGUCAUCACAACUUAUCAAAUGAACCACAGCCCCAGUGAAAACUGAUAUUCCCUGCCAGACAGCGAUAAUUAUUCAGCCUCACAACACAAACAAGAGCUCAGGUUUAGGUGGCUGAGUUUCUGUGUAGUAGUCAGAAAUGUUCAGAGCUGGUAACCAUUAAAGUCUCAGUGCUGCUUUCAUCUGUGGAAGCGAGACGUGCUCCUCUCUGAUAUCACCAAAAUUGCGCGCAAAAAGUCUGUGAGAAAACAUGAAAUAUUAUUGUGACCUAGUGAAGCACUGCUCUAAUGUCCAAUUUAAAACAUAAGGCUGCAGAGAUUAAGUAUUACGGCCUUUGAAUCAACAUCUGGUUGUAAUCUGAGCUGUACAGUCUUGGCUACUGAAAGGAGACCAUACAUGUUUUUCCUUUAUUUUUGAAGUUGAUCUGAUUGGAACUGAACAGCGCUUUAUCUUUUAACACAACUUUUGAUUGAUUUAUUCGGAGGAAAGGCCAUUUCAGAAAUAUGUGAGUUUAAACAUGUCUUUCAUGUGGACAAAACCUUAAAAGCUAAAUUUCAGUGGAUGUGUUUUUACUGCCCAAUGAAUGUUUGACAAAGAUUUAAUACAAUCUGUUGCAUGCAAUUCUGGCAUAAAGCAGAGAGUUAUAAAACUCUAACAUGGUAAGAUGUGGCCUCAAUUCUGUUUCCAAUUUCCUAAAUCUUUUACAAAACCAGGGUAUCCAACAUGCCACUGAGCCAAAAGAACUAGCCAGGGCCAAAAACAUGCAGUUAUAUUUUUACAUUUCGUAAUAACAAGCUUUUUUUUAUUCUAAAAAUAACCAGGUCAAUUUUUCUUGCCUUAAAAUCAUCAGUUUUUAUGUGUGUACACCAGUUUUUAAUACCUUGACUGUGACAUAUUCCCAAUUUGUUUCAUAAUUUAAUCUUUUAAAGGGACAUGACAAAAGAGAGACUAGUUUUUGUCACUUGUAAUCAGGGUUGGUCCGUGUUCAUUAAGCACAAAUGAAUUCAUUCUCAUCACUUUGCUUAAAGUUUAUGCUGGAAAUUAUGCUGUCAAAAGAAGACCUGUCUGUGCAGAGACUCUAAAACACAAAAUGUUUUCCUUUGCAGGCAGGAAACUCUGAGGCUGGGAAAGCCAUCAGCUCCAAUUUCAGCAGCGCACACACCAACACUCACAAAUGCACACACAUCCUUGUUUUCUUCUUGUCCACAUCAGCAAUGUCAGGUAGUAUAACCAGUAUGAACAUUAGAUACUUCUGUCAAUUAAAAGAAAAGAUUAUAUUUUUUCCCCCGUUUUGGCUGUUCAGGUUUAAAGGUUGAGUUCCUCCAUCAAUAAUGACAAAAAUGGGAAAAAGAGACUGUGGAAAUGUUGCUGUACUUACUUCACAAGGAUGCACAGUUUCAGUUGCACAAUUGACCUGUGGGGUUUGCAAAUAUAUAAAAAAAAUCUGAGCUAGUAUAAAUUGAGAUUAUGAUUCAUUUUUGUCUAUAUUUAUUCUUAUAGCAUUGAAAACAUCUUUUUAAUAAGUAAUGUAUAUCUGUUUACUGCUGUUGGUUAGUUUUUGUUGAGCUCUCUGGUUUCUGUUUCUUUUUUAACAAUGGUUUCCUUCAUUCCUCUUCGGCUGGACAUACUCUCUAUAUACAGUAAAACACACAAAAAGGCAAAAAAGUUAAUCAGCUAAUGUUAAGCUUCACUUUUUCUGUUCCUUUAGCAUUUUACAUUCCACAACACGACAGGAGUAUUUGGAACCAAGUCAUCAAAAUUCAUGUUUUGUUUUUUCCUCAAGAGCAACUUUCUGUUUGGUACUUUGACACCGCUCAUGACAGUGCUGCUCUCUAGUGGUGGUUUUAUUUUGAGCUCCACAAAUUAAGAACAUUGGAAAACUGUUGAUAUGGUUGAGUUCAACGCUGUCUUGACUGUGAGAUUUUUGCUUUUGUUUUUGUUUUAGGCAAGCCGAGACAAGUCUAAAGCAGAUUUUGGCAACAAGUGCCUAACGCCGACAACAGAGGAAUCCUAACAGAGGUCAUAAGUCAUCAACACCAAGUUGGUUUGUUAUUUAUACCCCAUUUAUUGAGAUAUUUGAAACUGAGAAUUUCUGUCAAACUGAUUUAUAUUUGGAAUCACAAGCUUCCCCUGAUCACCAGUAGGUGUCACUAUUUGGUAGUAUAUCUCUAACACCAACAUCCACGAAAUGACAAAUGAGAGUUCAUAUGAGAUCCAUCAUUCAAAGCAAAAAUCACACCCAGCAGGGCUCAGGCAUGCUGAAAACAAAAGGUUGCACAGAGUGAACACACGGGCGGCCAGCUGCUCUGUUCAGAGAGCAGGUUCAUAUUAAACCAUGAUGGCUUUUUUAAAGGUUAGCACAAAUGACUUUAAAGGUCAAAACCUGCAUUUUUUUUCCCUGUAGAAGAAAUGUGUUUUUUUUUCUUUGAAUACUAAACCAAAUGGAGUCAGUGUGUCAGAUAUAAGAAUCCAUCACUCUUCUAAAAAAGCUGCAAAUAUCAGUCUCUGGGGGAGAUAAGAAGUGACUCAGAACAGCCACCUCUGAGUGUAAACACAUGUGGACUGGUUACCUCUGCGUGUGGAUGUUAACAUGACUGAGUGUGUGUUUGUGUGUGGCUGUCUCCAGGUGUGAGUUGCCAUCCUGUCCUGGGUAAUGGAUGUAAUUAACUGGUCACUGUAGCAUAGAGUCUUUAUAUACCAUAAGUAAUAGUCAAGCCAGAGCAAAUCACCACGUAAUGGGCAAUUCUCCUCCCAGCAGGGGCACUAAAUGUUUCAUCCCACUUUCUCUAAUUACCCAAUUAAAGCUUAUGUGGCAGAUAUGCUCUCCUGUAUUGUCUUCUGCUUGAGCUUGAUGGUAUGAGAGCCUUUCAGUAAUCAUAUCCUUUCAACAGCAUGAGAAACAAGAAUGUGAAGGAGCAGCACCAUGGGGAAACUACGUACCAGCAUGUACGCAGCAGAGACUUUCCUAUACUGGUGCAAACAAGAACACAUCAAGCAUAAAACAAGAAAUGUGUUUGGUGUAAACACAUUUCCUGGUUGUAGGUCAGAGGACGCAAACACUUUUUUUUAAGUGACAGAAUUGCAAAGCAGCGGUUUCAGCAGGGUUUAUAGACACUUGACUGAGAAUAGUGGGGUUAAUGUUCGUUACAGUCAGCACAUUUACAUGCACAGUUAAAUAAAGCUACGGUCAUAGUUUGAUUAGGUGGUUUAACUGGACUUCUGUCCUUGUCCCAGACUACGAGCACCAGCAAGAAUCAUAUAAUUCAAAGAAGCAUGUUCGCCUCUGCUAUGAUAAGUGCUGACAUACCCUCUCCAAUCCUGCCAUCACCUAGUUCAUGAAUUACGUGUCAAAACAAUCAACAAAAUGAGUUAGCUAUGAAACCCUGUGAGAAAGGAGGGUUUUGUCUGUAUUUACACCCUUUCUUCAGGUGUCGAGGUUUAUUUACACAUUUAUACUAUUCAACUGCCAGCUCAAAGCCUUGCAUGGGAUCAGGUUGUGAUUACACUUAUUCCAGUUCCAGUCCUAUUGAGCUGUGAGAAAAUCAAUCUCCAACCAAAUUAUCUGCAAAUUAGUCAGACUGUUUUAUUAAGUGCAAUUUCAUUCAGACUUGGGCAAAAAGCCAGACUAUCAACAGCUGCAGAUAGGGAUCAAUAUGACCUUGUAAAACCUCUUCUUUUAAUAUGAAUACUGGCAGUAGUAUAUACAAGGACUCUUGUCUCUGUCCUUUUCGCUCACCAAACUUUACCUCAGUUAAAAACUAUUUUAGCUGUGAUUUGCUAAAGGUUUGAACUGACAAUAACAAUGAGGAACACAAAAUUGUUGAGUCCAAGAAUAGUACUAAAACAAAAACAAGGUCUAUGAGGCAAAAAGAAGGGCAGAAAAUUUCCUGAACUGAGUGUAUACUUACACCAAAAUAUCAAUAUAGUGACAAUAUUAAAUUUUCCUUAGGGGAUCAAUAAAGGUCUUCUUGAUUUAUCAAUAGUGGGUAAGAGUUUCUCAAAUUGAUGGUGAUUCAGAUUCAGUGUUAGAUUUAGGGAAUCAGUUGUCAUUAAAUGCAUAGCAAACCAUGUUCCUGCAGAAACCCAGGAGGGACCAAAUCAGAAUCAGAACGCCCUUUAUUGUCAUCAUACUGAAAGUACAAUAAGAUUGGAGAGCUUCUCCAUGUCCAGAGCAAUAGAUAAAAAAAGGAAAAAAAUAAUUGUAAGAAAAAAAAGGAUAGGAGAUAAAAUUCUCUAGUGCAGUCACAAACAGCCAGUCCUCUUGGCUGUUUUAUCUCGGACCGGUUCUGGAAAUGGCUGGAGAGGAAUCUUAUACUUCUUUCAUUUUUAUUACACAGCCUCUAUGGGGAACGGGAAUUGAACUUUCGUUGUUAUGUGAUCUGUUGACCUUGUAGAACAGUGGGCUGAGGAGAGAGCCAUGUGGAGUCCUGUUGCUCUUUCUAAGCAGGGAGCCUUUUCUACAUGAAAACUACACUCUUUAUGAUAUUGUCAAUUAAAACGGAUAGUGAAAAGUGUUGAGUGUAAGCAUUACCCCCAGUCCAACAUGUACCACAGUUAUCAUGUUAACUGGUGAUGUUGAUAGAAAACGUGUGUACAUGUGUUUGAAAGAGAAAGUAUUGCUUUCACAGUUGAUGCCCACACACAGUAGUGUCUGAAAAAUUGAGGAGAUCCGGUAUGUUGUUUUGAGCUUGUUACAAAGUGUAUAGUGAAUGUGUGUGCAGCCUGUCUGUCAGUGAUAAUAGAUGAAUGUGGACAUGCAGGGCAGGGGGCUGGUCUGCAGGAGGUCUAAGGUGUUUAGAGGUUAGAUAGACUGGGUGGGUGCACCUGUGUAGCUGUGAGGAGUGUGAGGAGAGGAGCAGCUGGCAGAUAGCAGUUCACGGUCAGACAGUCAGAGGCUAUAAUGAUGAAGCUCUCUGUGUCAGUUUGAUCAUUUCAGGCCUGACAAGAUCGAGGUGGCCUUCUCUCAAACAGUCAGAGCAAAUCUAUGUGGAUGAUGGGGUUUGGCGGUUCAUCCAUGACAGUAGAUAGGGAUACAAAAUCACACAACACACUCAUUCCCAUAAUUUCUGAAUUACUGUUGAUUAAUUAGUUUUUUUUUUUAUGUUUACCGGAUAAAAAUACCACAAGUUUCUCUCAUCUCAUUUUCUCAAGGUCAAACUCUUAGACGUGAAACCUCAAUUUUAAUUAGACCUCAUUCUUACAUGCUGCUUCAAUUAAGUUUCACGCAUUCAACUUGAUAUGCCCACAGACAAACCCAGCGAGUGGUUAUUACACCGCUAUUACUGCUUGUGGAUAACUGAUUGUCUGCUCCUGCCAGCUGACUGUGACAGCAGUGUGGAUGGCUCGAUUAAAAAUGUUAGGUAGCUGCUGAUGAAGGGACCUUAAUUAGAUGCUCUCCUCAUGAAGUAGAGUGAUCAUAUUCCACAUUGGUUAACACAAUAGCCUAAUUACAUGUGGAGAAACAGAGAAAAGAACAGAGCAUAUCCACAGCAUUUGUCACAAUACUCUACCAUGUAUGUUACAUUGAUCUAUUUAUAACUGUAUUUAUUCAUCAUAGACCUGCUGUAUUGACAAAUAUGGUUUAUACUUCAAUACUUCACCUGCAAGCAUGAUCUAGCAGCAUUUGUUUUUGGUUAUUGUCAGAUUUUGAGUGAAAGUGAGGAGUGCCGGGUGUGUUUUAGUAAUAAAAAGUCUGCAAGAAGUGUAUAUGUCUGCGAGGGAGGAAGCAUUGUGUGUUUGAGAUUAAAGAUUAGGAAUGUAUUUAAUGUGAGAGACAAGAAAUAAAAUGGGAGUCAGGAAAAUUAAAGGAGGUAAGAGAAGGAGAAGGUGAUGAGAAGUGAUAAAAAAGGAGCUCAGAGGAGAGGAUAUUAUUGUAAGUGGUAUUCUUUUUAUGUAGAAGGUGAGUGUUUAAUGUUUUAUCAGAUUAAAUACUGCACAUCAUUCACUCUUUGAUUUAGUUAAUUUUAUUUUAAAAAGAUUUUUCCUUCUUUUUUCAGGGAAGGACAAACAAGGAGGUGAAGGAGAGGAGGUGUGAGGGACUAAAGUUUACAACAGUCAUUGUAAAAGGAACAUAUCAAUACUUGUUUACUUAAUUAUAUUUCAGUAUGGAUGCAAACUUCUUUUGUUAACUUUGUGGAACUUUUACUUCCCUUGAUUGAAUUUUUCUUGCUAAGACAGAAAAGGGCGGAGAGAAGAGGUAAAGACAGAAGGGAGAGGAGAGGAGUGGGAGGGCAAAAGGUUCAAACUUAAUUUGAAUGGUAUCUUUCUAUAUUUACUUAUUUUUAUCAUCACAUUUCAUGUAGUAAUACAUUGUUAGAGUUAUGAAGCUACGUGGGGAGGACAGAGAGAAAGAAGAUUUGACAGCUGGAGGAGGAGGAGGAGGGUCUCCAGGUACUUUAAGUGUUGAAAGGUGGAGGUCGAGGAGUUUAAUGAAUAUCCGUAUGAAAUGAGGAGGAUGAGAAAACCAGAGAGCUUCAAUUAAAGAAGAACAAAGACAAGAUAAUAAAUGGAAGACAAUGAGGUGCAGAAGGUUUUUAAGUGGGACUGUUUUUUUUGGAAGAGGUAUGUGUUUCAUGUUUAUCAUUCAGCCUUUGUUUAGUUGAUGAUUGGAGAUUUUAACUCAGUUAUUUUGUUUUUCCCAAGGAAAAUUGCAGUCGUCUUAGAGAAGGAAGUUUUCAGGAUCCACGGCCUUCCCAGUGACAUUGUUUCUGACCGUGGACCUUAGUUCACUUCAGCUGUUUUGAAAGCCCUCUGCUCUGCCAUAGGUGUCACAAUUAGUCUCAGUUCAGAGUUUCAUCCCCAAACCAAUGGCCAAGCUGAGAGGGCUGAUCAGGAGCUCGAGAAGACUCUCUGCUGCCAUGUAUCAGCCAACCCAGCCUCCUGGUCCUCCCAACCUCCAUGGGUCGAGUAUUCCCAUAACACCCUGCUAUCUUUGGCCACAGGUUUGUCACCAUUCCAGUGCCUGUAUGGUUAUCAACAACCCAUCUUCCCAGCUUGGGAGGAGGACAUCCUGGUCCUAUCUGUCGAUGCCCACAUCUAUCGUCAUGCCAGAAGACUUGGCUCUCCCUCAAGAGCCUCCAGUUGAUACCAAAGACAAGCUAAUUGCUGGCGUACCCCAAGCUCCUAAUUACAUCCCUGGGGACAAGGUAUGGUUCUCAACUAAGGAUCUGCCAUUAAAGACAAAGUAAUUGUCCUCCAGAUUCAUUGGACCCUUUAUUGUGGAAACUGUUAUCAAUCCAAUGGAAACUCCCCAUACAGUCCACCCUUCAUUCCAAGUAUUUGAAUCCUUAAACCUCUGGUUAUUUCCAGAUUUUCAGUGUGAGUGAGGAGUGCCUGGUGUGUUUUUGUCUGCUCUGUCUCCUUCACUCUCUGCACACCUGAAACGAAUCCGCAAACAACACUCCUGCCGGCUGUCAUCCAAUCACCACUGCGUACAAAAACUCUGCACUGACUUCCAGUCCCUGCCGGAUCAUUGUGCCAGAAUGAGUUGUCUGUUUAAGUGGCCAUGUUCAGCCAAAAUUUGCUUUUGCUUAUUGCAUUAAUUUAUACUCAAGUAGUCAAUUUCCAGAGAAGUUUAGUACUAGCGGCUAAUUAGCGGCUAACUUGCGGCUAUGUCGAAAAAUGUGACUUGUCUUUACUUGUUUCUAUGAAAUGAUGAGAGAAAACUACCAAACACUGAUGAUUCAGUUUUGUAUUUUGACUGUCAAACUAGUGAAUCAAAUGUGUCUCGAUUGGCAGGACAGUCUCCACAGUACAGACUUAACAAAUGUUUGCCCUGUUGCAAUAUUUCUGCACCCUCACAGGGGAUAUUUUGGCUUUACGUUCAAGCAACUGAGGAGGUGGAGACAUGUAUUCCAUCUUUUGACAUGUUCAGUGGCCUUAAAUAGAUUUGAGAGGGACAACUGCAAUGAAGUACUUCUCAGGAUUUGGUGCCAAAACUGGAAUUCCUGAACCUGUUACCUUGUUGGAAUUGUUUGAGUAUCAGUUACUCUACACAUACAACCAACAAUUUUGCACAAGAGGGAGUGAUGAUGGUCUCGUUUUAGUACCGGGCGGCAGACCGAGUGUCAAAGAUAAUCACAGCAUGUUGAAGUUCAGUACAACAUCGCAGCCUGUAGUGUUCAAUCUGCACAAAGUUAUAAUCAGUGAGAUAAGGGAAACAGUAGAUUAGCCUGUUGUGCUUCAAACUCUACUGGUAUCACAGCUUCACUGAGACUCAACUGUGACUAUGAGGUCGAGUGAUACAUGGAGUGAAGAGUCCCAUUGAUGAUGUUCUUACUAUAUACAUUAUGUGGUGGACCAGUCCUUUGAAAUUUAAUGUUGUUUUAAUGAAAAAAUAAACAUCAUUUAGGUUUUUCUUAUUCAUUUCACUCUGUAAAUGAGUCACUUUCUACUUUCUUUCUUCUAAGUCUGUCUGCACGUCUCUCUAUCCUCCCUGUGGGCCGUUAGCGAUGCUGUGCGUCUGUCACAUUCCCAGCAGUACGUUGCAGACACAGAGGAGAAAGAGAGAAGGCCAUCUGGACUGGGUCACACUGUCGCGGCGACCACACGGGAUGCAGCCAGAACUCCACUCCAAACCAGAAUAACCGCCUGGGUGAGAAGAAAUAACGACAGCGGUUAUGGGAACAUUUCCCCUCUCUGCUGAGAGUGGUGCCCCCCACCACACACACCCCUCUUAAUUCUCUGGUUCGCUCCACAUCUCCCUCUCUUUCUUCACACCUCUUGAGAUAGUUCUGCUAACAUGAGUUAAUAAAUCCUGUUUUGUGCUCCCGCGUUUAUUCACGCUUUGUCUUUGCGCGUCUGGCUUUGCUUCAUUGAAGAGGCAGAGCGGUCUAUCUGCAGUAGGGUGAACAUUUGGGAAAGAGCCUUUUGUUGUGGGUUUGAAAGAGCAGCUUCAAGUCUGACAAUUGGCAGCAUACUGAUCAGGGAACAAACAACAGCCUGUACACAUUCCCCCAAUACACGAUUUGUUAACACUUAUCCAUGCUGUAAUGCUCAUCUCACACGCACACAGAGGAAGAGAUCAACUUUGCUGCAGCUCGAUUCAAAUCUGAGUUGAAGAAGACAACAAAUCUCCAAUCUCUAGAAACUAAUUCCCUUUUUUAAACACACAUUUCCAUAACACUGGGAAAGUCCACUUUUUCCCUGGAGGUGUCUGCCUGCGUUGAACACCACCUUUGUUGGGACCAGGAUUUCUCUUGCCCUGUUUUUCAAAGCUCAGACAAAUUCCCUGCCACGUUGGAGACCUCCAGUGAGCACCUCACCGUGUCUCUUCCAUCUCGGAGUGUGAGAUAAUGGACUCUCAGAAGAGACUGGGUGACCCUCUUUUAUACACUUUCCAUCCGUCUUGGCUCUGAGGCGGAGAGGCGGUGUUGAGUAGAGAGAGAGAGGACUGGCAGUGAUAUCAUAGAGACAGAGAUUGAAACUGUUGGACUCCGCGUCUCGUCUCGAUAAUGGACGAGGUUAGACGCAAUUGGCUUCAUCUCUAGAAAAUGAAGAAGGAAAACGUCUCUCUCCUGGCCUGCCGGGUCCAAGCCCAACAUUGAUCCACCUCUGGAUAGAGCAGGAGUCUAUUAUCUUGGAGAUUACUUUCAAAGCUUUUCAUUUUGACCUUGUGUCUGUGGAUCUUCCAGGCACUAUAAGGACUGAUUGAACACCCUGCAGCUACCAGUCAAACCUGAAAGCAGCGUGGACAUCAGCCCCAACCAACCAACCACAUUCUCUAAUUCACACCAGCUCUCACCCCUCUGACCUCCACUUGCUCCUCUUUUUUAUCUCAUUUGUUGAAACUCCUUCUUCCCCAUGUUCACCUUCUCACAUUGCUGCUGACCCUUUGCCUCGUGGCCUCUCGCCUUUCCUGUCUGAACUCUCUUCUGCCGGAGCAGAUCGCAAUUUCACGGGAUGGGUUUGUCUUUUUGAUCAAAUGUAUCUCGGCUAAGGCCAAAGGCUCUGAAAUCACUACAGCACAAGAGCAAGUAAGAUGUUUCAGUGAAGAAAAACACAAUUAAAUGCAUCAUUCUUUUUUCAGAUGGCUAUUUCAUUGUAUGUUAAGUUGUUUUAAUUCUUUCAUGGUUGACAUUAAACAUACUUUACUAUCACUGUUUUGUCAUUUUUUACUUUGACAUUUUUUCAAACUAUAAUAUAUUUUUAUCAUACUAUACUAUGACAUUUUUACCCUCCUAUACUAUCAUAUUUU